AAUAUUGGUCAAUGGGCGAGAGCCUGAACCAGCCAUGCCGCGUGCAGGAAGACGGCCUUCUGGGUUGUAAACUGCUUUUAUACAGGAAUAAAACGGCUCUGCGGAGCAGAUUGCAUGUACUGUAUGAAUAAGCACCGGCUAACUCCGUGCCAGCAGCCGCGGUAAUACGGAGGGUGCAAGCGUUGUCCGGAUUUAUUGGGUUUAAAGGGUGCGUAGGCGGGUAUUUAAGUCAGUGGUGAAAUCCCUGAGCUCAACUGAGGAACUGCCAUUGAUACUGGAUAUCUUGAUUACCGUAUAGGUAGGCGGAAUUUAUGGUGUAGCGGUGAAAUGCAUAGAUACCAUAAAGAACACCGAUAGCGAAGGCAGCUUACUGGACGUGUAAUGACGCUGAUGCACGAAAGCGUGGGUAGCGAACGGGAUUAGAUACCCCGGUAGUCCACGCUGUA
rnacentral:rRNA from 1 species